AAAAACAACUCUCGGCAACGGAUAUCUCGGCUCUCGCAUCGAUGAAGAACGUAGCGAAAUGCGAUACUUGGUGUGAAUUGCAGAAUCCCGUGWWCCAUCAAGUCUUUGAACGCAAGUUGCGCCCGAAGCCGUUAGGCCGAGGGCACGUCUGCCUGGGCGUCACGCAUC
rnacentral:rRNA from 1 species